UCCUCGGUAGCUCAGUGGUAGAGCAUUUGGCUGUUAACCAAAUGGUCGCUGGUUCGAACCCGGCCCGGGGAG